rnacentral:rRNA from 1 species
AAAUUGAAGAGUUUGAUCAUGGCUCAGAUUGAACGCUGGCGGCAGGCCUAACACAUGCAAGUCGAGCGGUAGCACAGAGAGCUUGCUCUCGGGUGACGAGCGGCGGACGGGUGAGUAAUGUCUGGGAAACUGCCUGAUGGAGGGGGAUAACUACUGGAAACGGUAGCUAAUACCGCAUAACGUCGCAAGACCAAAGUGGGGGACCUUCGGGCCUCAUGCCAUCAGAUGUGCCCAGAUGGGAUUAGCUAGUAGGUGGGGUAACGGCUCACCUAGGCGACGAUCCCUAGCUGGUCUGAGAGGAUGACCAGCCACACUGGAACUGAGACACGGUCCAGACUCCUACGGGAGGCAGCAGUGGGGAAUAUUGCACAAUGGGCGCAAGCCUGAUGCAGCCAUGCCGCGUGUGUGAAGAAGGCCUUCGGGUUGUAAAGCACUUUCAGCGGGGAGGAAGGCGAUAAGGUUAAUAACCUUGUCGAUUGACGUUACCCGCAGAAGAAGCACCGGCUAACUCCGUGCCAGCAGCCGCGGUAAUACGGAGGGUGCAAGCGUUAAUCGGAAUUACUGGGCGUAAAGCGCACGCAGGCGGUCUGUCAAGUCGGAUGUGAAAUCCCCGGGCUCAACCUGGGAACUGCAUUCGAAACUGGCAGGCUAGAGUCUUGUAGAGGGGGGUAGAAUUCCAGGUGUAGCGGUGAA